GACGAAGUCAGCUAAUAAAGCUUUCGGGCCCAUACCCCGAAUACGAUGGUUAAAAUCCACCCUACGUCA
rnacentral:tRNA from 1 species